GAUCAUGGCUCAGAACGAACGCUGCGGCAUGCUUAACACAUGCAAGUCGAACGAGACCUUCGGGGUCUAGUGGCGCACGGGUGCGUAACGCUGGGAAUCUGCCCUUAGGUACGGAAUAACUCAGAGAAAUUUGGAUUAAUACCUCAUAGUAUGUGAGAAUCGCAUGGUUUUCACAUUAAAGUUCCAACGGUAAAAGAUGAGCAUGCGUCCCAUUAGCUAGAUGGUAAGGUAACGGCUUACCAUGGCGACGAUGGGUAGGGGUCCUGAGAGGGAGAUCCCCCACACUGGUACUGAGACACGGACCAGACUCCUACGGGAGGCAGCAGUGAGGAAUAUUGGACAAUGGGCGCAAGCCUGAUCCAGCCAUGCCGCGUGCAGGAUGACGGUCCUAUGGAUUGUAAACUGCUUUUGUACAGGAAGAAACACUCCCUCGUGAGGGAGCUUGACGGUACUGUAAGAAUAAGGAUCGGCUAACUCCGUG
rnacentral:rRNA from 1 species